CCCAAUGUGGAAUUCGCCCUUCCUACGGGGGGCUGCAGUGGGGAAUAUUGGACAAUGGGGGAAACCCUGAUCCAGCGACGCCGCGUGAGUGAAGAAGUAUUUCGGUAUGUAAAGCUCUAUCAGCAGGGAAGAAAAUGACGGUACCUGACUAAGAAGCCCCGGCUAACUACGUGCCAGCAGCCGCGGUAAUACGUAGGGGGCAAGCGUUAUCCGGAUUUACUGGGUGUAAAGGGAGCGUAGACGGCACUGCAAGUCUGGAGUGAAAGCCCGGGGCUCAACCCCGGGACUGCUUUGGAAACUGUGGUGCUAGAGUGCAGGAGAGGUAAGUGGAAUUCCUAGUGUAGCGGUGAAAUGCGUAGAUAUUAGGAGGAACACCAGUGGCGAAGGCGGCUUACUGGACUGUAACUGACGUUGAGGCUCGAAAGCGUGGGGAGCAAACAGGAUUAGAUACCCCUGUAGUCAAGGGCGAAUUCCACAGUG
rnacentral:rRNA from 1 species